GAUGAACGCUGGCGGCGUGCCUAAUACAUGCAAGUCGAACGGGGAGUAGCAAUACUCUUAGUGGCGAACGGGUGAGUAACGCGUUGGUACCUGCCCCGAAGCGGGGGAUAACGGACCGAAAGGUCCGCUAAUACCCCAUGUGCUCGGUAACGAGUAAAGGUGAAAACCACUUUGGGAGGGGCAUGCGUCCCAUCAGCUAGUUGGUAAGGUAACGGCUUACCAAGGCGAUGACGGGUAGGGGACCUGAGAGGGUGGCCCCCCACAAUGGAACUGAAACACGGUCCAUACACCUACGGGUAGCAGCAGUAGGGAAUAUUGGCAAUGGGCGCAAGCCUGAACCAGCAACGCCGCGUGUGCGAUGACGGCCUUCGGGUUGUAAAGCACUUUUGACUGGGACGAGGAAGGACGGUACCGGUCGAAUCAGCCUCGGCUAACUACGUG
rnacentral:rRNA from 1 species